rnacentral:rRNA from 1 species
AUUGAACGCUGGCGGCAUGCCUUACACAUGCAAGUCGAACGGCAGCACGGGAGCAAUCCUGGUGGCGAGUGGCGAACGGGUGAGUAAUAUAUCGGAACGUGCCCGGUCGUGGGGGAUAACGUAGCGAAAGCUACGCUAAUACCGCAUACGAUCUACGGAUGAAAGCGGGGAUCGCAAGACCUCGCGCGAUUGGAGCGGCCGAUAUCAGAUUAGGUAGUUGGUGAGGUAAAGGCUCACCAAGCCGACGAUCUGUAGCUGGUCUGAGAGGACGACCAGCCACACUGGGACUGAGACACGGCCCAGACUCCUACGGGAGGCAGCAGUGGGGAAUUUUGGACAAUGGGCGCAAGCCUGAUCCAGCAAUGCCGCAUGCAGGAUGAAGGCCUUCGGGUUGUAAACUGCUUUUGUACGGAACGAAACGGUGAGCUCUAAUACAGUUUGCUAAUGACGGUACCGUAAGAAUAAGCACCGGCUAACUACGUG